AGGAUAAACGCUGGCGGCGUGCCUAACACAUGCAAGUCGAACGUCCUGUCUCGCAAGAGGCAGGGAGUGGCGGACGGGUGAGUACCACGUGGGUUAUCUACCGUGAGGUGAGGAAUACCGGCGAGAAAUCGCCGACAAAACCGCAUAGGCUCGAUGCAAGUCGAGCAAAG
rnacentral:rRNA from 1 species